rnacentral:rRNA from 1 species
GGUAGUCCACCCCGUAAACGUUGGGAACUAGUUGUGGGGACCAUUCCACGGUUUCCGUGACGCAGCUAACGCAUUAAGUUCCCCGCCUGGGGAGUACGGCCGCAAGGCUAAAACUCAAAGGAAUUGACGGGGUCCCGCACAAGCGGCGGAGCAUGCGGAUUAAUUCGAUGCAACGCGAAGAACCUUACCAAGGCUUGACAUACACCAGAACGGGCCAGAAAUGGUCAACUCUUUGGACACUGGUGAACAGGUGGUGCAUGGUUGUCGUCAGCUCGUGUCGUGAGAUGUUGGGUUAAGUCCCGCAACGAGCGCAACCCUCGUUCUAUGUUGCCAGCACGUAAUGGUGGGAACUCAUGGGAUACUGCCGGGGUCAACUCGGAGGAAGGUGGGGAUGACGUCAAAUCAUCAUGCCCCUUAUGUCUUGGGCUUCACGCAUGCUACAAUGGCCGGUACAAAGGGCUGCAAUACCGUGAGGUGGAGCGAAUCCCAAAAAGCCGGUCCCAGUUCGGAUUGAGGUCUGCAACUCGACCUCAUGAAGUCGGAGUCGCUAGUAAUCGCGGAUCAGCAACGCUGCGGUGAAUACGUUCCCGGGUCUUGUACACACCGCCCGUCAAGUCAUGAAAGUCGGUAACACCUGAAGCCGGUGGCCCAACCCUUGUGGAGGGAGCCGUCGAAGGUGGGAUCGGUAAUUAGGACUAAGUCGUAACAAGGUAGCCGUACCGGAAGGUGC